rnacentral:rRNA from 1 species
CCUACGGGAGGCAGCAGUGAGGAAUAUUGGUCAAUGGACGAGAGUCUGAACCAGCCAAGUAGCGUGAAGGAUGACUGCCCUAUUGGUUGUAAACUUCUUUUAUAUGGGAAUAAAACGUUCCACGUGUGGGAUUUUGUAUGUACCAUAUGAAUAAGGAUCGGCUAACUCCGUGCCAGCAGCCGCGGUAAUACGGAGGAUCCGAGCGUUAUCCGGAUUUAUUGGGUUUAAAGGGAGCGUAGGUGGAUUGUUAAGUCAGUUGUGAAAGUUUGCGGCUCAACCGUAAAAUUGCAGUUGAAACUGGCAGUCUUGAGGACAGUAGAGGUGGGCGGAAUUCGUGGUGUAGCGGUGAAAUGCUUAGAUAUCACGAAGAACUCCGAUUGCGAAGGCAGUUCACUGGACUGCAACUGACACUGAGGCUCGAAAGUGUGGGUAUCAAACAGGAUUAGAUACCCUAGUAGUC